AUUGACCGCUGGCGGCAGGCCUAACACAUGCAAGUCGAGCGGAGCGGCGGACGGGUGAGUAAUGCCUAGGAAUCUGCCUGGUAGUGGGGGAUAACGUCCGGAAACGGGCGCUAAUACCGCAUACUAUCAGAUGAGCCUAGGUAGGAUUAGCUAGUUGUUGGGGUAAAGGCCUACCAAGGCGACGAUCCGUAACUGGUCUGAGAGGAUGAUCAGUCACACUGGAACAGAGGCACGGUCGAGACUCCUGCGGGAGGCAGAAGAGGGGAAUAGUGGACAAUGAGCGAAAGCCUGAUCCAGCCAGGCCGCGUGUGUGAAGAAGGUCUUCGGAUUUUAAAGCACUGUAAGUUGGGAGGCGUUACCAACAGAAUAAGCACCGGCUAACUUCGUGCCAGCAGCCGCGGUAAUUC
rnacentral:rRNA from 1 species